GUUCGUUUUCCUGCUGAGAUAUAUGACGAGACGCGAACACAUUCAGCGACUACUAGCUUCGUCUAGUUCGUAUUCUUUCAUUCUUUCUUCCUUUUUUCUCGGAUGAUACGAAUAAUUACGCGUCGGUAGGAAAAAUGAGGGUGAAAAGAAAACACGGAGGGUGAAAACCUUGGACGCGGAUCGCGGUAUCAAUGAGACGGAAUUAAUGAUCGAAAAAACAAGUCGAAAGAGUGAAAAAACUAGAGAGAGAAAGAGAGAAAGAUAUGGAAGAGAAAGGUGUUUCUCCAAUCUGACGGUAUCCGUCGGUGGUGCGUUUUUGAUAUACAAACGCGGUAUCCGUUUCUUUAUCGCGCUUUUUGCACCGCUCUUUCAACAAGCCUGAUCCUCUUUCUCUCCACCACCAUCACCCAUCGUCCCUCUCGAGUGGGUUUCGAGCCGAAAGAGAAGAAGCGUAUCGUCGGCUUAGCGGCUAGAAAAAACAGGCGCGAGGAUCGGCAACGCUUUCGUCGUCUCGUCAUUGUCGCGAGCGUUGACAGGAGGGUGAGGAAGGGGAAGGGGAGGGAGCAUCGUAGCCUCUCGAAGGAAGAGAGCGGACAGCUCUAUGACGAACAGAGACAGAGAAAGAGAGAGAGAGAGCUCCAGGUGGACGAGCACGAGCGGAGGGAUGGGAGGGAAUGGCAGGGCCGAAGCGACGUUCCCGAGGGAAGCGAGGAGAGGAGACGAGGACGAGUAGAAGGGGUGAGGGAGAGCGUUGGGAGAGGUGGUGAGGAAAGAGAAAGAGAGAGAGAGAGAGAGAGUGGAAGGCGAGGCGCAGGCGUGCGGCUGGUCGCGGCUCGAAUCCCGCCGUAUUCCAAAGAGGAACACGCCACUCCGCCCCCGGCACGGCAGCCACGCGUCAGUCUCACCCGACUGACCUCCUGUCCCUAACUUCCCUCUUCGAUUCCUGACCCGCGCACAUUGAACUCACGCGGUUCGCACCGGCCGAAGACGUCGCGCGGCCCGUUCAGUCGCCCUCCGACCGGAAGUGCUGCUGCUUCGAACCAUGCUGCCACGUACCCCGACACGGCCUAAACCCGGAUACAUCCAAGCCAGGAGCUCGGUAAUGGAGGAGGUUCGGCGUUACGCGAACGGUGCUCGACGAUCCUCCAGGUGCUAGAUCCUCUUUCCUUCCGUUUUCGUCCACGUUCUCGAUCGAUCACGGAAUCCAUUGGGGGAAAAACGUCGACAUGGGGACGAAUAUCGAGAGGAGGAUGGAGAGGCGCGAAAGAUGGUCUCGCGAUGAGAAUUCGAGGAAACGUGGAGGGCAACGUGGAAUAGUGGUGGAGUAGGAUCCGUUGGAAGGCAAAGAAGAGGGAGGAAGAGGAAGCAGAGGAGGAAAGUGUGAAAGUUCUCCUUCCCUGGUUCUGUUACGCGAUUCGGUUGUUUUUCCGCGUGGUGUGAUGACGGGUGGUGGCUGGUGUUGAGUGCGCGCGUCCGCGGCCGAUAGUUUCGACGAGAAAGUAAACAGUGAGAGAAGGAAAAUUAUUAGUUGAUCGCGAUUUAACCGAGAUCGCCUCGGUAUUUCGAUCGAAGUGGUGGUUCUUCGGGGUGGUGGUGUUUUCGCACGAUCGAGCCACGUGUUACACGCGGACAAAUUCGAACUCGACGAUCGACACGAUUUUUUUUUAAGUUAGUCGACAUUGUUCGACCACUGUAGAAAGGAUUAGAGAAGAAUUGCGAAAAACGAGUUGUUGACCGAUAGAGAAAAGAAUUCGUUCCCCUCUCCCUGCCCGAGUUUCGAAAUAUAAAAUAUAUCCCGAAAUCAUCGUAGAUCGAGAUUCUAUUAUUAAAGUCAUUAUUACUAGAGGAAUUUAGCGAUCGUUGUCGUUAUAUAGUGAAAAUUUAUUGUACGAGAAUCUUCGAUAUUACAUAGAUAUAUCUAUAUAUAAUAUAUUUGAGAGAUUUAUACCGUUGUUUGUACGGUCGGUGUAAAGUCGGUCGAGAGAGAAAGAGAGAAAGAUAUAUUGUUAUACGGAAGAGAAAGAAAAAAAAGGAGAGGAGGAAUAUUUCGCGAGGUGGAAGAAUCGAGAUACCUGCGUGUCGGAACACGAUCCAGCUAACGAGCGAGCACUCUAAAUACAAUAAUAAUGGUCGUGAGUUCGCACUUUAAUUCGAGCAACAAUCGACGAGUAAUUAAUAACGAUCGAUUCACGCGAGAAUUCCGGGCGUCGAAUUAACGUUCGUCCGCAUACGAUUAAUCAAAUGUUAUUUCGAAAUAUUACACGAUCUCUGGCGACGCGGGACAAAGCUUCAUUGGCCUAUCGACUGGUGCAACGAACGAACGUAUAUCGAGCCUAAUAAAUAACGAGUAUCGCGCGAAAAGGGAGGCUGGGGGAGGAGGAGGAGGAGGAGGAGGAGGACGAGGAGGAGGAGGAAGAGGAGAGGAGAAAGAGGAGGAAUAUACUCGUCGUGGUGCACGCGAGUUCGAUCGAAAGAAGGAACAGUGGAUGAAAAUGGAGAUCGGUCGACGACCUUGCGACGCGAACGCGAGAGCGAACGCUUAAACCGUGGCAGACGACGAGCCCACCGGCGGAGAUUAUCGAUUCGCUCACGCGUGGGCCAACAUGUCGCGCGCGAAAUGUGCACGAGCUGCGAGUUCGCGAAUCGCUCGGGGACCUCGUUGGGAAACUCGAGGACGAGCAGCCUCUUGAAGACGCGUUAGAUCGAAACGAAACCGAAAACGAUAUGCAUCGAUCCUGGAACGAUACGAUCCUGUUGAAAAUUAAUUAAGCGGCAUUCGAAGCGCGCCUCGAGCACAACGAGAUCGACAACGAGAUAUCAAGUAUUUCCGAGCGGAUAAUCCGAGGAUAUAUAUAUAUAUGUAUAUAUAUGCGCGCGUGUAUGUAUAUAUAAUCUUGGCCGUAAGAAGAACACGACGAUGAUCGUGCAACUGGGCACCUAGUCGGUCGUGUCCGGACGCCGCUAAAAACCAAAUGGGCGAGCCGAAACCCGCCUCGUCUCCGCANCCCAGCGGGGGGGUAAAG